CUGGGGUUUCCUCGGCCUGUCGGUGGGAUAACGCGUGCUAUUCCUGAUUUCAGCCGCUGAAGUGUCGCAAAAGCACCUCCAAACAUACUGCCUUUGUGUUACUCAAGCCCUCCAAGUGGAUUUUCAUCCUUCUUGACAGACAAAUGCCGUAGAAGUUAGAGGUCACUUACACAAACACCAUUAUUUCUCGAGCAUCCCAUUGACACCCAGCUGUACAGCUGCAUUCCAGCAGUAACACCCAGCAUUAUCGCUGCUGUACGGGUGGGAAAUAAAAGCACAGAAAGGUGAAACCACCGCCAGAGGUUACCGAGCAGGCUAGCAGUACGGCCAGGAACAGGAUGCUGCACGCACAAUUCCCUGUCAAGUGUUUUCUCCCAGGUCAUAAACAGGACUUCUAGAUGGCCUAUGCCAUGGUGGAAAGGAAAGGUCUCUGACACUGGCAAAUCCGGACUGCAUAACUGCUGACACAUUCCUACCACAGCUUCAAAAGGCUGUUCUUCAUCCAAGAGCUGACCUCAUCCUGGCACAACAAUUUCCUUGUGGGAAUAACGAGCUGGUACGUAGCAGAAGAUACUCAGAACUGUGUGGCUUCUGUUUGGUGCCCGAGCGCAGAGCAGAUCACUGUGGCUGUACACAGAAAUUUGAUGGAGAAAGCGCAGAGGAGUCUUGCAGUGGAGAUGCAGUUUCUGAUCUUGGUUGCAUCUUGGAAAGAUGAAACCUAGAUUGUAAAGCAUUUUGGCACCUCUCUGCCCCUCUCUCCAUGGCUUACUGACUCCAGUAUUCCAAGCCUUUCAUCUCCCACUUGUCAGGAAAAAUAUCCAAAAAGAAACAUUUGCUACUGCUCACGGGAGUGAUCUGUGGGAAUAACCGGCUCUUGACCAGAGAUUUCUGGCUACACGCCUGCUGGGCUUCUGGAGGUUAUCGGCAUGGCUAACUGCUCUGCAACUACACAACAAGGUCAGGUGUUGCUGAAACCGUGAGGCUUCCACUGAUGAUUGCGUGAAAUUCC
rnacentral:lncRNA from 1 species